rnacentral:lncRNA from 1 species
GGAAGAUUCACCUGGUAAAAUGGGAGAAGACAGGCAAACUGAACCUGAGCACAGCCUGAGUGAGUUUCAUUCUCAAAUUCAGUAUAAAGAUUAAAGAAGAGAAUCCCCUUCAUGUCCUCUGAUCUCCACACUUCAUGCCUGUAGUGCCCAAUAAUAAACAAACAAACAAGCAUUAAGUAUCUUCCAUGAGGGCUAGCGAGAUGCUUUAGUGAUUAAGAACACGUACUGUUCUUGCAGAAGACCAGACUUUAGGUUCUAUCAUCUCAUCAGAUGGCUCACAACUGUGAAAGUGGAAGGAAGCCUCAAAGCAACAUCUGAGUUUGUCUUCUGACCUCCACAUCUGCCUGCUGUGUGCACAUCCACCUAUUGUUGGGAUGACAUUCCUUACUUGGUAUGAAGGUAUCUCUGGAUAAAAUGGCUAAGGGUCCUGGAAUGCCUACUGCACAACCAAUGUGUUAGCCAGUGUUACAGCCUGGUACAUCUAUCAAGAAACCCAUGUCCCAGAUGGAGGUAGAUGCAUGGAGCUUUCACAGGGCAGACGGGGGAGAGGCCCUUAACAAUAAGCAACAGACACUGUUUAAAUUUGGCAUUUAACUCAGCCAAGAACAUAUGUACAUAAAGUUUAUCCCAGCCAGAUUAAACUCCUGAAGUCCUGCGGCACCAGUGCUCAGCAAGAUUGAUCACUGACUGAAACUUAGUUACUGACAUUGAAGAAGAACGAAGCAACAUGGAAUAAGCACUGAAGAAUCUAAUGGAUUUCAUACUUUGUUCUUUUCCUCAUGUUCCUGGGGAUGGAAUUCAAGCCUCAGGUUUAUGGUCUGUAACGACUGCUCUCAUCCAUCCUGGCAAGCUACCAUUCUCCAUGCAGCUUCACAGGAAAUUGGAACUUUGGAGAAUUACUCCAAGAAAGCCAUAAAAUAUGAAGAGCUGUAAAGGUACUAGGAAAUGUUCCUUUGACUCAAACUGCACACUAUUGACUGGAUAUGCUCAGAGAUGACCUGGAAUAGACUGACUCUGUGCAGAGAGACAGAGAGAGAGAGACAAGAGGAGCCCUCAGUCAUCCAGGUGCAUUUGCUUAUAUGAAUCCAGCCUAAUGGAAGAGGACCCAGUUCUUCCCUGAGGAAGAAGAGCUCCUCCUCAUUGUGAGCAUAACAAAAAUCCGGGCCUCCUUUCUGGAGAGAAAUGAUGAUAUGAGUUACGUGAUGCUCCUCUCCAACCUGCCAAGAGGAAACAACUUGUCACAAUUCUUAGAGGUCUCAGACCCCUUCUUUUACAACACACAUGAAGCCCAGCCCAUACCAGUGAUUGUAUCUCAUUGGUUUUGUUUAUUUGGUUGGUUGGUUUGGUUUGGUUUUAUUUUUUUUUCACCUUGGUAUUUCAAAACUGCUGGUGCUAUUCUUUUUUGCUGAGGUACAGUAUAAGAGAAUAGAUGUUAACUAGAACCUAAGAUGUCCAUCUUGACACCACCUGGGCCUAGACGUUUCCCUGUACAGCCAGUAGGUCUGCUCAGGACUCCUGAGGUGUCUAGAUAAUUUAUAUUCUAAGGCUCGCCAGAGUAGAUACUCAGACCAGGACCCAAAAGCAAUUGGGUCUUCCUCUAAUGUUUACAACUAUUCAGCAUGUCUGUUUCCCUGCCUUAUGCCUGACUGGCUGCAUUUCUGCUUUUCGGUCUGCCUUCUUUUCCUUCUAGGUAACAUAGCACUCUGACUCUGAGGCUAUUUGAGCAUGUAGAAAACCUCCAGGCUCAGUUUCUUUGUGACUGGAAUUAGUGGCAGUAGCCCCAAACUAGAAUGAAAAUUUCUAACUAUAGCAAUGAACCAAAUUAUUCAAUUCAAAGGAAUCUGAAAAGCAACCAAGUACAAAGUCAUCAAAUUCAAGAUGGCUGGGUCUUGUUAUCCAUAGUUCCUUCUGGAGGGUGAUGUGCAUGGAUAUACACCAUAGAUAUGGUCCCUGAGAGUCAUGCAAAGGCAAGGGGGAAGAAACAGUCUCAGAUCAAAAUUGUUUAUAUCUUUACCAGGGCUUUACAUAACACCCCACAUUCCCCAUUCCUUUCUUCUUGUUCUUCUUUGCUGAGGUGAGGAAUUUCUCACAAGAAUCCUGAGGGAGGACAACCUGACACAGGCCUCUAUCCUUCUAAACUGAGGUGACAGAGCCUGGUGUCUCUGAGCAGAAUUCAGUCUGGCAGCCUGGGAGAGAAAUGCAAAGUCAUUGGGAUUCUCUCCUUCAUCCCUUUCCCCAUGAUCACAGUUUUACUACAAGUUCUGGCUACUGGGGUCUGGGAGAUGAGGCCAUGGAUUUGACUGCUAGCUUGAGUGGAUGGAACGCUAUUUCUGGAUUUGACUGUCAGCUUGAGUGGAUAGAACACUUUUUCUGGAUUUGACUGUGAGCUGAUUAUAAAAGUUCCCUGUGUGUGCAGGGACUCAUUGGAAAAAGUUCUUUCCUACCUCAGAUGAGCACCGUAAGCUUCCUGGGAGGUAAACAGUCUGAGGAAAAGGGAAAAUUCUGCUGGGUUUCCCUUGGUAUGGACAUGUCUUCUCUCUUCUUAGUUCAUAUCUCCAGAUUUUUUUGGCCUCUAGACUCUGAGGUCUGGACUUGUGUUUUUCUGUGUCCUCCUGGGUAUUGCCUUAGACCUAGACAUAUAUGUGACUAACAAGGUCUAUUACUUUCAGGUAUAUAUUAAGCCAAACUACAAAUAUUCUAUAGUGUCUACCUUGAAGUAUCUAGAAAUGCAAUUGGUAUAUCAUAUGGAGCAUUUUCACCAGAGCAGUGAGACUGUGAGAAACGACAUCAGGUAUUAAGAGGUUGCAGACAAUGGAUGAGGGAGACCUUUGUGACCUCAGAAUUGCAGGGCAAGAUUAAAAAUUGUUUUGCAGUCAACUCACAGACAUAUCCAGAAAUAUUGCUCUGUCUACACAAGCUGACAAGACAGUCAGGUUGGCAAAACAGUAAAAGAUAGAACUCUUCACACGAGGUGCUGUUACUACAGCAGAGUAAGUGGAUCCAUGGACGCAGAAACCUUACAGCAUGAUAGGAGACUCGGUAUUCCCUGUGUGGUUCAGUGUUCCACACUUGAGACACCUGGCAAGUAACUCUUCCUGGUGAGCUUCAAUCUCACUCCUGUUUGGCUGACCAAGAUGCAGUGGGAACCACUUCCACUCAAAUCUAGUCCAAAUCAGAUUUGGGGACCUCUGGGGACUCACCUGGCCCUUCCACUGUGACAGUUUCUGCAGCCUCCUUAGCAGCCUGUGAUGUGCUUGGGGCUGCUUCAUCCCAGACUUUCUUUCCUGAACACACCUCUGGUGUGCUGAAGGUUCUUUUGGUACUGAAGGAGGCUGAGUUUCCUUUGAUAUUAAUGGUGCUCCAGGGCCCACCUCCCCACUGUUGUUUUCUUCAGAACCAAACAGUUUUGUAAAUAAAAAGGAAAGGCCAUUUGGAAAAUCCUGCUGUUACGAGGAUGUUUUUUAUGUCCUCCCAGAAGGCUGCCUUCUCGGCCAGUUCCACUUCUUUCUUCUUCUGCAAGAAGAGAAAGAAUUUAGGCCACUACUUCAAAUAUUGGAUGAAAAGUCUUGUCAUCCCAUACAUGAAAAAAGUGUAGUAUAUUUCAAUAUUCUAUUCUAGAGCACUUAAGGUUUUGAACUGCUCUUGGGGAGGAAGACCGACAUUAUUCAUGACUGGGGAUGUUCUAAGACUGAAAAGAGAAGACAGGAAACAUCAAAAUGCUUUGUCUGGCAUAUGCCAUUCCAGCUCUCUUGCACACACACACACACACACACACACAGUAUGUUUGCAGUGUGCAUUUGUGUGUGUUUGUCAGAUUCACAGACCUCGCUCCCUAAAGAAAUGAGUGAAUAGAGCACCACAGGUAGUGAUUCAGCUUUUUUAUUAGAUAUUUUCUUUAUUUACAUAUCAAAUGUUAUCCACUUUCUAGGUUUCCCCUAUGAAAACCCUCUAUUCACUCCACCUGUUCACCAACCAACCCACUCCAGCUUCCUGACCCUGGCAUUCCCCUACAAUGGGGAAUUUGGCCUUCAUAGGGCCAAGGGCCUCUCCUUCCACUGAUGCCUCUGCUACAUAUGCAGCAGCAGCCAUGGGUCUCGCUAUAUGUAUUGUUUGGUUGGUUGUUUAGUCCUUGGGAGCUCUGGAGGAACUGGUUCAUAUUGUGAUUCCUUCUAUGAGGCUGCAAACCCCUUCAGCAACUUGGGUCCUUUCUCUGGUUCCUCCACUGGGGACACUAUGCUCAGUCCAAUGGAUGGCUGUGAGCAUCCACUUCCAUAUUUGAUGGACAUUGGCAGAGCCUCUCAGGAGACAGCUAUGUCAGGCUCCUGUCAACACGCCCAUUUUGGCAUCCAUGAUAAUGUCUGGAUUUGGUGAUUGUAUAUGGGUUGGAUCCCAGUUGGGGCAGUCUAAGGAGGAUGAUUCCUUCAGUCUGUGCUGCACAUUUUGUCUAACUGCUUGCAUGGGUAUUUUAUUACCCCUUCUAAGAAGGAUCAAAGUAUUCACACUUUGGUCUUCCUUCUUCUGAGUUUCAUGUGGUUUGUAAAUUGUAUCUUGGGUAUCCCGAGUUCCGGGGCUAAUAUCCAUUAUCCAAGUGCAUAUCAUGUGUGUUCUUUUGUCAUUGGGUUACUUCACUGAGGAUGAUAUCCUCCAGAUCCAUCCAUUUGCCUGAGAAUUUAAAAAAUUCCUUGUUUUUAAUAGGUGAGUAGUACUCCAUUGUGUAAAUGUACAGCAUUUUCUGUAUCCAUUCCUCUGCUGAAAGAUAUAUGGGUUCUUUCCAGCUUUUGGCUAUUAUAAAUAAGGCUGCUAUGAACAUACUGGUGCAUGUGUUCUUAAUAUCAGUUGGAACAUCUUCUGGGUAUAUGCUCAGAUGAGGCAUUGCUGGUUCCUCAUUGCUGUACUAUUACACAUUGCUGUACUAUGUGCAAUUUUCUAAAAAACUAUCAAACUGAUUUCCAGAGUGGUUGUACAAGCUUAAAAUCCCACCAACAAUGGAGGAGUGUUCCUCUUUCUCCUGAUCCUUGCCAGCAUCUGAUGUCACCUGAGUUUUUUAUCUUAAUCAUUCUUACUGGUAUGAGGUGGAAUCUCAGGGUUGUUUUUAUUUGCAUUUCCCUGAUAACUAAGGAUGGUGAACAUUUCUUUAGGUGAUUCUCAGCCACUUGGUAUUCCUCAGUUGAGAACUCUUUCUUUAGCUCUGUAUCCCUCUUUUUUAAUAGGUUAAUUUCUUUCUCCAGAGUCUAACUUCUUGAGUUCUUUGUAUAUAUUGGAUAUUAGCGCUUUGUCAGAUGUAGGAUUGGUAAAGAUCAUUCCCCAAUCUGUUGCUUGCUGUUUUGUCCUAUUACAGAAGCUUUGCAAUUUUAUGAGGUCCCAUUUGUCAAUUCUUGAUCUUAGAGCAUAAGCUAUUAGUGCUCUGUUACGGAAAGUUCGCUGUGCCCACAUGCUCAAGGCUCUUCCCAACUUUCUUUUCUACUGGUUUCAGUGUCUCUGGCUUUAUAUGGAGGCCCUUGAUCCACUUGGACUUGUGCUUUGUACAAAGACUUGUGCUUUGUACAAGGAGAUAACAAUGGAUCAAUUUGCAUUCUUCUACAAGCUAAGUGCCAAUUGAUCUGGCACCAUUUGUUGAAAAUGAUGUCUUUUGUCCACUGGAUUGUUUAGCUUCUUUGUUAAAGAUCAAGUGAUCAUAGGUGUUUGAGUUCAUUUCUGGGUCUUCAAUUCUAUUCCAUUGAUCUACCAGCCUGUCACUGUACCAGUACCAUGUAAUUUGUAUUACAAUUGCUCUGCAUUACAGCUUGAUGUUAGGGGUGGUGAUUCCACAAAAAGUUCUUUUAUGGUUAAGUAUAGUUUUUGCUACCCUAUUUUUUUU